GAGUGAAAUAGAACCUGAAACCGUGUGCUUACAAGUAGUCAGAGCCCGUUAAUGGGUGAUGGCGUGCCUUUUGUAGAAUGAACCGGCGAGUUACGAUUUGAUGCAAGGUUAAGCAGUAAAUGUGGAGCCGUAGCGAAAGCGAGUCUGAAUAGGGCGUUUAGUAUUUGGUCGUAGACCCGAAACCAGGUGAUCUACCCUUGGUCAGGUUGAAGUUCAGGUAACACUGAAUGGAGGACCGAACCGACUUACGUUGAAAAGUGAGCGGAUGAACUGAGGGUAGCGGAGAAAUUCCAAUCGAACCUGGAGAUAGCUGGUUCUCUCCGAAAUAGCUUUAGGGCUAGCCUCAAGUGAUGAUUAUUGGAGGUAGAGCACUGUUUGGACGAGGGGCCCCUCUCGGGUUACCGAAUUCAGACAAACUCCGAAUGCCAAUUAAUUUAACUUGGGAGUCAGAACAUGGGUGAUAAGGUCCGUGUUCGAAAGGGAAACAGCCCAGACCACCAGCUAAGGUCCCAAAAUAUAUGUUAAGUGGAAAAGGAUGUGGCGUUGCCCAGACAACUAGGAUGUUGGCUUAGAAGCAGCCAUCAUUUAAAGAGUGCGUAAUAGCUCACUAGUCGAGUGACACUGCGCCGAAAAUGUACCGGGGCUAAACAUAUUACCGAAGCUGUGGAUUGUCCUUUGGACAAUGGUAGGAGAGCGUUCUAAGGGCGUUGAAGCAUGAUCGUAAGGACAUGUGGAGCGCUUAGAAGUGAGAAUGCCGGUGUGAGUAGCGAAAGACGGGUGAGAAUCCCGUCCACCGAUUGACUAAGGUUUCCAGAGGAAGGCUCGUCCGCUCUGGGUUAGUCGGGUCCUAAGCUGAGGGCGACAGGCGUAGGCGAUGGAUAACAGGUUGAUAUUCCUGUAUCACCUAUAAUCGUUUUAAUCGAUGGGGGGACGCAGUAGGAUAGGCGAAGCGUGCGAUUGGAUUGCACGUCUAAGCAGUAAGGCUGAGUAUUAGGCAAAUCCGGUACUCGUUAAGGCUGAGCUGUGAUGGGGAGAAGACAUUGAGUCUUCGAGUCGUUGAUUUCACACUGCCGAGAAAAGCCUCUAGAUAGAAAAUAGGUGCCCGUACCGCAAACCGACACAGGUAGUCAAGAUGAGAAUUCUAAGGUGAGCGAGCGAACUCUCGUUAAGGAACUCGGCAAAAUGACCCCGUAACUUCGGGAGAAGGGGUGCUCUUUAGGGUUAACGCCCAGAAGAGCCGCAGUGAAUAGGCCCAAGCGACUGUUUAUCAAAAACACAGGUCUCUGCUAAACCGUAAGGUGAUGUAUAGGGGCUGACGCCUGCCCGGUGCUGGAAGGUUAAGAGGAGUGGUUAGCUUCUGCGAAGCUACGAAUCGAAGCCCCAGUAAACGGCGGCCGUAACUAUAACGGUCCUAAGGUAGCGAAAUUCCUUGUCGGGUAAGUUCCGACCCGCACGAAAGGCGUAACGAUUUGGGCACUGUCUCAACGAGAGACUCGGUGAAAUCAUAGUACCUGUGAAGAUGCAGGUUACCCGCGACAGGACGGAAAGACCCCGUGGAGCUUUACUGUAGCCUGAUAUUGAAAUUCGGCACAGCUUGUACAGGAUAGGUAGGAGCCUUUGAAACGUGAGCGCUAGCUUACGUGGAGGCGCUGGUGGGAUACUACCCUAGCUGUGUUGGCUUUCUAACCCGCACCACUUAUCGUGGUGGGAGACAGUGUCA
rnacentral:rRNA from 1 species